rnacentral:rRNA from 1 species
GAAACUGCGAAUGCCUCAUUAAAUCAGUUAUGGUUUCUUUGAUGGUACCUUGCUACUUGGAUAACCGUAGUAAUUCUAGAGCUAAUACAUGCAGGAAUUCCCGACUUCGGAAGGGAUGUAUUUAUUAGAUAAGAAACCAUCUCGGGUUCGCCCGGUUGUGUGCUGAGUCAUAAUAACUGCUCGAAUCGCACGGCUCUACGCCGGCGAUGGUUCAUUCAAAUUUCUGCCCUAUCAGCUUUCGAUGGUAGGAUAGAGGCCUACCAUGGCGUUAACGGGUAACGGAGAAUUAGGGUUCGAUUCCGGAGAGGGAGCCUGAGAAAUGGCUACCACAUCCAAGGAAGGCAGCAGGCGCGUAAAUUGCCCGAAUCCUGACACAGGGAGGUAGUGACAAGAAAUAACAAUACAGGGCUACUUCUAGUCUUGUAAUUGGAAUGAGUACAACUUACAUCUCUUCACGAGGAUCAAUUGGAGGGCAAGUCUGGUGCCAGCAGCCGCGGUAAUUCCAGCUCCAAUAGCGUAUAUUAAAGUUGUUGCAGUUAAAAAGCUCGUAGUCGGAUUUCGCGGCGGGCCGAGCGGUCUGCCGAUGGGUAUGCACUGUUCGGCGCGUCCUUCUUUCCGGAGACCGCGCCUACUCUUAGCUGAGCGGGCGCGSGAGACGGAUCGUUUACUUUGAAAAAAUCAGAGUGUUUCAAGCAGGCAGCUCGCUCUUGCAUGGAUUAGCAUGGGAUAAUGAAAUAGGACUCUGGUGCUAUUUUGUUGGUUUCGAACACCGGAGUAAUGAUUAACAGGGACAGUCAGGGGCACUCGUAUUCCGUCGAGAGAGGUGAAAUUCUCAGACCAAUGAAAGACGAACCACUGCGAAAGCAUUUGCCAGGGAUGUUUUCACUGAUCAAGAACGAAAGUUAGGGGAUCGAAGACGAUCAGAUACCGUCGUA